rnacentral:rRNA from 1 species
CCUACGGGCGGCAGCAGUGAGGAAUAUUGGUCAAUGGACGAGAGUCUGAACCAGCCAAGUAGCGUGAAGGAUGACUGCCCUAUGGGUUGUAAACUUCUUUUAUAUGGGAAUAAAAUGUUCCACGUGUGGGAUUUUGUAUGUACCAUAUGAAUAAGGAUCGGCUAACUCCGUGCCAGCAGCCGCGGUAAUACGGAGGAUCCGAGCGUUAUCCGGAUUUAUUGGGUUUAAAGGGAGCGUAGGUGGGUUGUUAAGUCAGUUGUGAAAGUUUGUGGCUCAACCGUAAAAUUGCAGUGGAAACUGGCAGUCUUGAGUGCAGUAGAGGUAGGCGGAAUUCGUGGUGUAGCGGUGAAAUGCUUAGAUAUCACGAAGAACGCCGAUUGCGAAGGCAGCUCACUGGACUGCAACUGACGCUGAGGCUCGAAAGUGUGGGUAUCGAACAGGAUUAGAUACCCUGGUAGUC